rfam:Ictidomys tridecemlineatus contig051854, whole genome shotgun sequence.
GGGGUUGUGGCUCAGCGGUAGAGCACUCGCCUCACACGUGCCAAGGCCCUGGGUUCGAUCCUCAGCACCACCU